CGGGUUUAUAGUGUCAAGCUGGA
rnacentral:miRNA from 1 species